ACGAACGCUGGCGGCGUGCCUAAUACAUGCAAGUCGAACGCUUCUUUUUCCAUCGGAGCUUGCUCCACCGGAAAAAGAGGAGUGGCGAACGGGUGAGUAACACGUGGGUAACCUGCCCAUCAGAAGGGGAUAACACUUGGAAACAGGUGCUAAUACCGUAUAACAAUCGAAACCGCAUGGUUUUGAUUUGAAAGGCGCUUUCGGGUGUCGCUGAUGGAUGGACCCGCGGUGCAUUAGCUAGUUGGUGAGGUAACGGCUCACCAAGGCGACGAUGCAUAGCCGACCUGAGAGGGUGAUCGGCCACAUUGGGACUGAGACACGGCCCAAACUCCUACGGGAGGCAGCAGUAGGGAAUCUUCGGCAAUGGACGAAAGUCUGACCGAGCAACGCCGCGUGAGUGAAGAAGGUUUUCGGAUCGUAAAACUCUGUUGUUAGAGAAGAACAAGGAUGAGAGUAACUGUUCAUCCCUUGACGGUAUCUAACCAGAAAGCCACGGCUAACUACGUGCCAGCAGCCGCGGUAAUACGUAGGUGGCAAGCGUUGUCCGGAUUUAUUGGGCGUAAAGCGAGCGCAGGCGGUUUCUUAAGUCUGAUGUGAAAGCCCCCGGCUCAACCGGGGAGGGUCAUUGGAAACUGGGAGACUUGAGUGCAGAAGAGGAGAGUGGAAUUCCAUGUGUAGCGGUGAAAUGCGUAGAUAUAUGGAGGAACACCAGUGGCGAAGGCGGCUCUCUGGUCUGUAACUGACGCUGAGGCUCGAAAGCGUGGGGAGCAAACAGGAUUAGAUACCCUGGUAGUCCACGCCGUAAACGAUGAGUGCUAAGUGUUGGAGGGUUUCCGCCCUUCAGUGCUGCAGCUAACGCAGUAAGCACUCCGCCUGGGGAGUACGACCGCAAGGUUGAAACUCAAAGGAAUUGACGGGGGCCCGCACAAGCGGUGGAGCAUGUGGUUUAAUUCGAAGCAACGCGAAGAACCUUACCAGGUCUUGACAUCCUUUGACCACUCUAGAGAUAGAGCUUCCCCUUCGGGGGCAAAGUGACAGGUGGUGCAUGGUUGUCGUCAGCUCGUGUCGUGAGAUGUUGGGUUAAGUCCCGCAACGAGCGCAACCCUUAUUGUUAGUUGCCAUCAUUUAGUUGGGCACUCUAGCAAGACUGCCGGUGACAAACCGGAGGAAGGUGGGGAUGACGUCAAAUCAUCAUGCCCCUUAUGACCUGGGCUACACACGUGCUACAAUGGGAAGUACAACGAGUCGCAAAGUCGCGAGGCUAAGCUAAUCUCUUAAAGCUUCUCUCAGUUCGGAUUGUAGGCUGCAACUCGCCUACAUGAAGCCGGAAUCGCUAGUAAUCGCGGAUCAGCACGCCGCGGUGAAUACGUUCCCGGGCCUUGUACACACCGCCCGUCACACCACGAGAGUUUGUAACACCCGAAGUCGGUGAGGUAACCUUUUGGAGCCAGCCGCCUAAGGUGGGAUAGAUGAUUGGGGUG
rnacentral:rRNA from 1 species